GACGAACGCUGGCGGCGUGCUUAACACAUGCAAGUCGAACGGAAAGGCCCUGCUUUUGUGGGGUGCUCGAGUGGCGAACGGGUGAGUAACACGUGAGUAACCUGCCCUUGACUUUGGGAUAACUUCAGGAAACUGGGGCUAAUACCGGAUAGGAGCUCCUGCUGCAUGGUGGGGGUUGGAAAGUUUCGGCGGUUGGGGAUGGACUAGCGGCUUAUCAGCUUGUUGGUGGGGUAGUGGCUUACCAAGGCUUUGACGGGUAGCCGGCCUGAGAGGGUGACCGGCCACAUUGGGACUGAGAUACGGCCCAGCCUCCUACGGGAGGCAGCAGUGGGGAAUAUUGCACAAUGGGCGGAAGCCUGAUGCAGCAACGCCGCGUGCGGAAUGCCGGCCUUCGGGUUGUAAACCGCUUUCGCCUGUGACGAAGCGUGAGUGACGGUAAUGGGUAAAAAAGCACCGGCUAACUACGUG
rnacentral:rRNA from 1 species